rnacentral:rRNA from 1 species
UGGGGAAUUUUGGACAAUGGGCGAAAGCCUGAUCCAGCAAUGCCGCGUGUGUGAAGAAGGCCUUCGGGUUGUAAAGCACUUUUGUCCGGAAAGAAAUCCUUGGCUCUAAUACAGUCGGGGGAUGACGGUACCGGAAGAAUAAGCACCGGCUAACUACGUGCCAGCAGCCGCGGUAAUACGUAGGGUGCAAGCGUUAAUCGGAAUUACUGGGCGUAAAGCGUGCGCAGGCGGUUUGCUAAGACCGAUGUGAAAUCCCCGGGCUCAACCUGGGAACUGCAUUGGUGACUGGCAGGCUAGAGUAUGGCAGAGGGGGGUAGAAUUCCACGUGUAGCAGUGAAAUGCGUAGAGAUGUGGAGGAAUACCGAUGGCGAAGGCAGCCCCCUGGGCCAAUACUGACGCUCAUGCACGAAAGCGUGGGGAGCAAACAGGAUUAGAUACCCUGGUAGUCCACGCCCUAAACGAUGUCAACUAGUUGUUGGGGAUUCAUUUCUUAGUAACGUAGCUAACGCGUGAAGUUGACCGCCUGGGGAGUACGGUCGCAAGAUUAAAACUCAAAUGAAUUGACGGGGUCAUA